rnacentral:rRNA from 1 species
GACGAACGCUGGCGGCGUGCUUAACACAUGCAAGUCGAACGGAAAGGCCCUGCUUUUGUGGGGUGCUCGAGUGGCGAACGGGUGAGUAACACGUGAGUAACCUGCCCUUGACUUUGGGAUAACUUCAGGAAACUGGGGCUAAUACCGGAUAGGAGCUCCUGCUGCAUGGUGGGGGUUGGAAAGUUUCGGCGGUUGGGGAUGGACGCGCGGCUUAUCAGCUUGUUGGUGGGGUAGUGGCUUACCAAGGCUUUGACGGGUAGCCGGCCUGAGAGGGUGACCGGCCACAUUGGGACUGAGAUACGGCCCAGACUCCUACGGGAGGCAGCAGUGGGGAAUAUGGCACAAUGGGCGGAAGCCUGAUGCAGCAACGCCGCGUGCGGGAUGCCGGCCUUCGGGUUGUAAACCGCUUUCGCCUGUGACGAAGCGUGAGUGACGGUAAUGGGUAAAGAAGCACCGGCUAACUACGUG